UACAGAGGUCUCGAGCGUUAGGCGGAAUCACUGGGCUUAAAACGUGUGUAGGUGGAUGGGUAAGUACCUUGUGAAAUCCCACGGCUCAACCGUGGAACUGCUUGGUAUACUGCCCGUCUUGAGUCGCUCAGGGGCGAGCGGAACAGAUGGUGGAGCGGUGAAAUGCGUAGAUAUCAUCUGGAACGCCAAUGGUGAAGACAGCUCGCUGGGGGUGUACUGACACUGAGACACGAAAGCCAGGGGAGCAAACGGG
rnacentral:rRNA from 1 species